rnacentral:rRNA from 1 species
CGCUGGCGGCGUGCCUAACACAUGCAAGUCGAACGAGAAGUUCAUUAAUGAUACCUUCGGGUUGAAUUAAAUGAAUGGACAGUGGCGGACGGGCGAGUAACGCGUGAGUAACCUGCCCAUAAGUGAGGGAUAGCCCAUGGAAACGUGGAGUAAUACCUCAUAUUGUAUAUUAACUGCAUGGUUGAUAUAUGAAAGAUUUAUCGCUUGAAGAUGGACUCGCGUCUGAUUAGAUAGUUGGUGAGGUAACGGCUCACCAAGUCUACGAUCAGUAGCCGAACUGAGAGGUUGAUCAGCCACAUUGGGACUGAGACACGGCCCAGACUCCUACGGGAGGCAGCAGUAGGGAAUAUUGCACAAUGGAGGAAACUCUGAUGCAGCCAUGCCGCGUGUGUGAAGAAGGCCUUCGGGUUGUAAAGCACUUUCGGAGGGGAGGAAUAAAUGACGUUACCCUCAGAAGAAGCACCGGCUAACUCCGUG